rnacentral:misc_RNA from 1 species
CGGUCCACCGCGGUCCUUGAAACCGCGAGCGGAGGAUUGAAAUGCCGGCCGUACAAGAGACGGUCGAUCGGGUUCGCCAGAUCGACGUCGAUCAAUAUCGUUAUGGAUUCGAGACCAUCAUUGAAUCCGAGAAGGCUCCGAAAGGGCUUUCCGAAGACACUGUCCGAUUCAUCUCCGCGAAAAAGAACGAACCGGAAUGG